UACGUACCGUCCAAACGUUAUUCGGAAUUACUGGGCUUAAAGGGUACGUAGGCGGCGCUGUCAGUCGGGUGUGAAAUCCCAGGGCUCAACCCUGGAACUGCGCCCGAUACUGCAGUGCUUGAGGGAGACAGAGGUAAGCGGAACUGAUGGUGGAGCGGUGAAAUGCGUUGAUAUCAUCAGGAACACCAGUGGCGAAAGCGGCUUACUGGGUCUCUUCUGACGCUGAGGUACGAAAGCCAGGGGGAGCGAAGGGGG
rnacentral:rRNA from 1 species